UACGUAGGUGGCAAGCGUUGUCCGGAAUUAUUGGGCGUAAAGCGCGCGCAGGCGGUUUCUUAAGUCUGAUGUGAAAGCCCACGGCUCAACCGUGGAGGGUCAUUGGAAACUGGGGGACUUGAGUGCAGAAGAGGAAAGCGGAAUUCCACGUGUAGCGGUGAAAUGCGUAGAGAUGUGGAGGAACACCAGUGGCGAAGGCGGCUUUCUGGUCUGUAACUGACGCUGAGGCGCGAAAGCGUGGGGAGCAAACAGG
rnacentral:rRNA from 1 species